rnacentral:rRNA from 1 species
UACAGAGGGGGCAAGCGUUGUUCGGAAUUACUGGGCGUAAAGGGCGCGUAGGCGGCCGCUUAAGUCAGAUGUGAAAGCCCCGGGCUCAACCUGGGAACUGCAUUUGAAACUGGCGGGCUUGAGUGUGGCAGAGGGGGGUGGAAUUCCGCGUGUAGCAGUGAAAUGCGUAGAGAUGCGGAGGAACACCGAUGGCGAAGGCAAUCCCCUGGGCCUGCACUGACGCUCAUGCACGAAAGCGUGGGGAGCAAACAGG